rnacentral:sRNA from 1 species
CAUAGGCUGAUGGUGCAAACAGAAUCAAUUGUUACGCUCCAAAACAAUCUGUUUAUGAAAUAACUACAUGGAAUAUAUGGCGCUGAGCGGAUGUUUACUGGGAGCUUGCGCUCAGAGUGAUCUUAUCAUUUGUUGGAUCCUCCAAACGAAUCAGCCGAAUUGCAUGACUUCCCAGUCUUAGAUGAAAAGGUCCAGAGUUUCGUUCGAGCAACGGUACGAGGUCUGGCAUCAUAUCAUUUCGGAUCCCUGUGCUCGCCCGAAGUUCAACACUACUCUCUUAUAAAGAACUAAAAGUCAAGUUUUCCCUUUUUCCAACAUUCAAAAUAAAAGAUCCAAAAGCUAGACCCUCGCGAGAUCUCUAAUAGGAAAGCUAACAUUCCUCUUCUAUGGUGGCAGUCUCAAAACUUUCAUUAUGUGAUGGCUCAUAGUUGGCAAUGCCAAUCAGACAACCUUCAAAGUGCGGCAUCUCCAGCCAAUAUUGCACCAUUCGAAGCUGCAAACGAGCAUAUUGUUGGGAUGGCCCUGUACCCACAGUGUUAUGAAGAUACCGUUUACUAAGGAGAUUCGUAAAACACAAUAACCUAGCCCAUCCAGUACCAGAGGACAGAUGGCGAGAUCUCAGAAUAACUUAAGGAUUAGCGCCCGCACCUAACAACCAUCAUCAAAGCUGGAUACAAUUCUAACUACCUCCAACUGCUGUGGAUGACGUUAUGGGGUUGCUAGAGGCUCGAUACUAGCUACUCAUAUCAAAAACGAAGCCCAUUCAAACCAAGGACUUCCGGGAAAACUGACUUCGAACCACAGAUUGUAUCUGGGAUAGUACUGGGCUCAUUUUAAGCUGUGGUCUAGAGAACUCGCGGUCCAUGCGUCAGAUGCUGAAAGGCUCUCAGUCCAGGUUGACUGAAGUUGGAUAUAGAGCGAACUCCACUGUUGAGCAUCGUAAAUGAGCGCGGCUAGGUUGUUCUAGACUAUUUUAUAUACCCACAAUCUACGCAGAGUUAUGAAUCAGGAAAUUUUAUCUGAGAUUUUUUGCCCGCCGUAUGACUGACGAUCUACUUUUUCCAACUUGGGUGGCUGAAUGUAAUUCACCACGAUUGUCUCAAACAUCUGUCUGCCUCUUCAACAUGCCCCGCGGGAUCUAUAGGGGACUGGAAGAGAGCCUAUAACCCUACCGCGGGAUGUUAUUUGCUUAUUUAUAUUAAGUUUCAAUAAUAACCAGGUUACAAGCUCCAGUGUGUGUAUAGAGAAGCGCAGAAUUUGAAUAUGUUCUGGAUUAUUCGGAAUAUGGAGGCAUGGAACAAAAACCCUUGCACCAGCUGGAAACGGAAAAUGAAACCCUCAAUACUGAGAUCUCACCCUCAUGGAAGAAGUUAUGAGGGAUGGACACCUCACAUAAAAGCUGAGUUAAGCAUCAAGCCGCUAAAAUACAUCCAUAUAGGCCAGAGAAGCUCGCAUAUCUGAUCUGCAUGCGCAUGUGCUUGAUGCUGGCCUGGCUGCUUACUUGCUUGAGAAAAGCAGAAUUGCUCGAAGGUUUUCUGCUGGGUCCUUGUUUGGAACACGAAAUGCUGUCGCAAAGUCGACACGGACACAGCAGCCAUUCAUAGGUUUGGAGGUUACGCUCGCUGAGUCCUUUUGCGCAACUCAUUUUGCACAAUGGGACCUCGCCCUCUUUGCUGCAGCAGGUUGAUAGGGAAAAUUCCAAAGCGGCUCUUCCUCUGAACAACUUAUUCAACAUAGUGGCAAUUUCUGCAACUGCAGAGCAUUACUGGGAGAACACCGCAAAUCUGGACAGUCAUACGUUCACAUUUUGCAUCAGCUAAUGUGGUCAAAAUCAUCUUGCCGAACACUUGAAAUUGUGAUGUCCUGGAUGAUUUCUACAUCUUUAAUAAAACAUGCCCCAUACAAGAGUCUCCCUCACUCAAACAAUCAGAUGGAAAGGAGAUGAAAAGAAAAAGCGCAAGAAGGAUAUAGAUGAGAAAAUGGAUAUUUCAUACAGCUUAGAAAAUUGAAGUUUUAACUAGUUCUGCAAAAGAAUGAUCAAACCCAGAACCAUCCAUAAUAAAAGUUUAACCUGCCGAAAAGGCUUGAAGUUUACAGUAACAAGAAAAGGAGACAAGCAUCAUAGUAGAAAAUCCCCAGCAAAGCGCCUGUAUGUGUCAUAAGUUCGUAGCAUGAAACAAAAAGGAAAAUAUGGAAGGUUUGUCAGAUCUAGGUGCAGGUCGGAUGGAAAAUGUAUAUAUCUGACGAUCAACGUCCCAACCCCUCCUUCGGCCAUUCAUAUUAUUAUUCAUCCCCUUCUCCUUCCGUCUGCCAGCUUUAUGUUUUCACUAUCAAAGAACGACUCAUCGGAUCGUAACCGCUGCUGGUUUUUCUUCUUCUUCGAAGUUCCCCACAUCAAAAUAAUAAUAUACGCCACACUUAUGACUCCUGCAAGGAUUGCGUAGACAAUAACGCCGGCUUUAGGCACCGUUUCUUCUCCAAUGCCACUAAAUUUAAAUCCCAAACCGCCAUUUAUGAUACCCAACACGAGCAUGCUCCGGCCUACCCAGCGAUGUACCAGCCCCAUAGCGCUAGGCCCGCGGGUGCGCACGUAGUUGAGAUGGUGCCAGUAUCCUAGGAGUGGUUGGAAAAGCAAUAGCCAGCCAAUAACCACAUACCCGAUUAUGGGGUGGUACAUGGUUGCCCUCUUCAGGUCAAGGCCCAAGGAGACACCGACACCAAACCCGGUGACGGCGGCACAGAGCGUGAGGAUCUGGAGGGGUGCGUGGAUGCGUGUGGCUGUCUUUGAGUAGGGGAUCAAGAAUAGGGUCAGGGCGAAAGUUGGGAAGAGAAUGACGAAGACGACGGACAUGAUGAUACCAUGUGUCACACGUUUGAUGUCUAUGGUCCUUUGGGAUAUGCCGGGCGUUGAACCACUUGAGCCAUCCCCGCGAUUAGCGUCCACUGUCAAGUCAAAAGUGAACGUGCCCUGGUUGUCGUGGAAGGGAAUUGACGCUUCGACAUCGGCGGAGUUGAGAGGGUUGCCGCGCUUCACGGCCCAGAUCCAGGGGCUCUUUGUAUCCGUAGGAUUCAUGGAGCCGCCAUCCCAGCUCAUACAGCUUUCGCAGAGCACUUUUGCGAUAAUUUUUCCGUUAGAGAUUCCCGAGCCUUCCAGGAGGCGGACUUGGGCAGAGGGGUUGUAAUCAGGGAGCAUAUGGCCGCGCCCUAGGCGCGGGGAGAUAGUUAUGUUCUUCUUGUCAGAUGAGAUGUAGGCAACGAAGAUAUUGGCACCUGCCAUUCCCGUUCCCUGACCCAAGGCGAACCAUUCAGUUGUAUCACUGGGAGCUUCCAUUUGGAAAUAUAUGGGGCCUUGACCCCUGGAAGCUGUGGAAGGUGGGACGUUGACGCUGUAAGAGAUGCCCUUUUCAUCGCUAGGGCGGAAUUGCGCUGUCUGGAUGAACGCCAUUGACGCAUUGACCAGCAUCGCUGCUGUGACAACUGUAGAGAACAGCCUCAUGGUGAGAGUGUAUAUGAAGACAAAUCUACACCCUAUUGAUUGAAGUGAACAGUUUCAAGGCAUCGGUUUGUGUUGCAAGAUGGUCCUUGAAGUAAAAUUUGAACAGGUGGGUGAAUUGUAGUCAAUAGUUGCUUCUCAUUGAGAAUUGCAAACUGACAGCCUGAUGAGUUGCAUCGAAAGGGGUAGAGAGUGAGCACCUAUAGGUAAGCAGCAACACGAUCCCGCAAGAACGCAAACAAAAUUAUCACACACUCCAAACUUCGCC